CCUACGGGCGGCAGCAGUGAGGAAUAUUGGUCAAUGGACGAGAGUCUGAACCAGCCAAGUAGCGUGAAGGAUGACUGCCCUAUGGGUUGUAAACUUCUUUUAUAUGGGAAUAAAAUGUUCCACGUGUGGGAUUUUGUAUGUACCAUAUGAAUAAGGAUCGGCUAACUCCGUGCCAGCAGCCGCGGUAAUACGGAGGAUCCGAGCGUUAUCCGGAUUUAUUGGGUUUAAAGGGAGCGUAGGUGGAUUGUUAAGUCAGUUGUGAAAGUUUGCGGCUCAACCGUAAAAUUGCAGUUGAAACUGGCAGUCUUGAGUGAGCGAGAAGUAUGCGGAAUGCGUGGUGUAGCGGUGAAAUGCAUAGAUAUCACGCAGAACUCCGAUUGCGAAGGCAGUAUACCGGCGCUCAACUGACGCUCAUGCACGAAAGUGUGGGUAUCGAACAGGAUUAGAUACCCGAGUAGUC
rnacentral:rRNA from 1 species